rnacentral:rRNA from 1 species
GAUGAACGCUGGCGGCGUGCCUAAUACAUGCAAGUCGAGCGAAUGGAUUAAGAGCUUGCUCUUAUGAAGUUAGCGGCGGACGGGUGAGUAACACGUGGGUAACCUGCCCAUAAGACUGGGAUAACUCCGGGAAACCGGGGCUAAUACCGGAUAACAUUUUGAACCGCAUGGUUCGAAAUUGAAAGGCGGCUUCGGCUGUCACUUAUGGAUGGACCCGCGUCGCAUUAGCUAGUUGGUGAGGUAACGGCUCACCAAGGCAACGAUGCGUAGCCGAACUGAGAGGGUGAGCGGCCACACGGGGACUGAGACACGGCCCAGACUCCUACGGGAGGCAGCAGUAGGGAAUCUUCCGCAAUGGACGAAAGUCUGACGGAGCAACGCCGCGUGAGUGAUGAAGGCUUUCGGGUCGUAAAACUCUGUUGUUAGGGAAGAACAAGUGCUAGUUGAAUAAGCUGGCACCUUGACGGUACCUAACCAGAAAGCCACGGCUAACUACGUGCCAGCAGCCGCGGUAA